UUGUUUGUUUCCAAAAAGGAAUAUUUCCUAGCCAUUAGCCCACAUAUGUUGGUUUGAAGUGACGAGUGCAUAUAUAUAUGUUGGUCCUCGGCAGUCCUUUGAUUUCCUUUACUUGGCCAUGGGUACGGAGUAGAACUGUGCUAACAAGAAAGCAUCUCUUAAUUACUUGACUGGAUCCAUCAUCUUAAUCUUCUUUCAUCAAGGAGCCAAUCCUUUUUAUCUAAGCUGUGUUUUCAAAGCUUAUCUGUCUCGCUUAGACUCGCUCUCCAUUAAAGAGUUGGUCUCUCGUUUAGAAUUUAACCUAUAUCCCUUAUACACGUUCACCUUCCUUAUGAUACACCAUGAAUUUUCCCUUGACUCUUCUUUUCACUUUACUGUUUGUCUCCUUCUCCCACCUCAUUCUUCAUUCAAGUUUGGCCAUGGAAAAGCUUGAAGGUUUUUUUAACUCUCUCUCUCUCUCUGAGUGUGAUAGUAUUUGUCAUCUAAAAUUGUUGGUUUCCUUUUCUUUUUCUUUUUUUCAGAUACCGGAAAUACCAAAAUGAAAUCAUCAAAUCUUAAAGUCAAGGUCAGUACAGGAAGUAACAUAUCUAAUAUUCUACUCUCAUUUGUCCAAGUGAAAUCAUCAGAGCUUUAAAUACUCGUUGUUUUUCUUAUACUCUUUCUGGUGAAUUUUCAGUCAUUUGCAGAUCAAGGCGAUCGAGUUCAAAGGAAAUACUUGCAUGAAGUACAUUCAGGG
rnacentral:lncRNA from 1 species